rnacentral:misc_RNA from 1 species
GGAAGUAAAAGUCAUAACAAGGUUUCCGUAGGUGAACCUGCGGAAGGAUCAUUAUUGAAUUCCAAACGUAGAGGACUUGAGCUGUGCGCUUAGGCUGCACGCCUUGUCCGAUACAUUUCACACUCCUGUGCACCUUUUGACCCGCAUAUAUGCGGGUCCUUUUUACACAUACACUAUAAAGAAUCUUGAAAUAUCAUUUUUGAAAUGUAUGACAACUUUCAACAACGGAUCUCUUGGCUCUC